ACCCGUUGAUCCUGCGGGAGGUUGCUGCUCGGGGGAUUCGAUUAAGCCAUGCAAGUCUUCUCGCAAGAGAGGCGAAAUGCUCAGUAACACGUCGUUAACGUGCCCUUUGGUCAGGGAUACCCACGGGAAACUGUGGCUAACACCUGAUAGGGGAACAUAUCUGGAAUGAUGGUUCCUUUCAAACUCGUGCCAAAGGAUCGGACGGCGGCGGAUUAGGUUGUUGGCGGUGUAAUGGACCACCAAGCCGAAGAUCCGUACGGGCCAUGAGAGUGGUAGCCCGGAGAGGGACACUGAGAUACUGGUCCCAGCCCCACGGGGUGCAGCAGGCGCGAAACCUUUACAAUGCACGCAAGUGUGAUAAGGGGAUCCCCCGUGCUCAUGCAUUGCAUGGGCUUUUGCCAAGUGUAAAUAGCUUGGCGAAUAAGUGGUGGGUAAGACUGGUGCCAGCCGCCGCGGUAACACCAGCGCCACGAGUGGUAACCACGAUUAUUGGGCCUAAAGCGUCCGUAGCCGGCCUGGUUAAUCCUUUGUGAAAUUGUUCGGCUUAACCGAACAGCGUGCAAGGGACACUGCCAAGCUUGAGACCGGGAGGAGUCAGAAGUAUUCCAGGGGGAGCGGUAAAAUGUUAUAAUCCCUGGAGGACUACCUGUGGCGAAGGCGUCUGACCAGAACGGAUCUGACGGUGAGGGACGAAAGCCAGGGGAGCGAACCGGAUUAGAUACCCGAGUAGUCCUGGCCGUAAACGCUGUGAGCUAGGUGUUGCGUUAACUACGAGUUGACGCAGUGUCGAAACGAAGGUGUUAAGCUCACCGCCUGGGAAGUACGGUCGCAAGACUGAAACUUUAAGGAAUUGGCGGGGGAGCACCACAAGGGGUGCGGCGUGCGGUUUAAUCUAACUCAACGCAGAGAACCUUACUAGGGGCGACGGCAGGAUGAAGGCCAGCUUGAAGAGCUUACCUGACAGGCCAAGAGGUGGUGCAUGGCCGCCGUCAGCUCGUGCUGUGAAGUGUCCAGCUAAGCCUGGCAACGAGCGAGACCUGUAUCUGCAAUUGCUAACAGCCACAUGUGGGACUGAGCACUUUGCAGAGACUGCCUUGGAAACGAGGAGGAAGGUGCAGGCUACGGUAGGUCUGUAUGCCCCGAAUCCCCUAGGCUACACGCGCGCAACAAUGGUAGGGACAAUGGGAUGCAACUCCGAAAGGAGAAGCUAAACCUCUAAACCCUAUCCAAGUACAGAUCGAGGAUGGCAACUCAUCCUCGUGACGACGGAAUCCCUAGUAAUCAGACGUCAUCAUCGUCUGGUGAAUAUGUCCCUGCUCCUUGCACACACCGCCCGUCAAAUCAACCGAGCAGGGUCUAGGUAAAACGUAGUUUAUUGAUUGCGUUGAAUCUAGGCUCAGUGAGGUGGGUUAAGUCGUCACAAGGUA
rnacentral:rRNA from 1 species